GAGGCGAGCAUAGAGAGAGCUGCUUUUCAUAAAACGGGACUAAUGUAGUAAACUUACAGGAACAUAUACCACUACCAACGUUUGGAUCGAUAUCUGCAUCGAUCUGCACACCCUUGUCUCCUGGAUCCUAGCUGAGAUCAGCGUGAACCACGUGGGUCUCUGCUCCCUGAUCUGUUUCCUGUGUUUAGAAAGACUUCCAGCUUCAUGACGGAGUUUCUCUCGGUUUGUGGGCUCAUCUAAAGCUGAGUAACAGGAGGAGAAGAGUCUGGUGGAGCAGCAGAUGAACAAUUUCAGCCAUUUGGACUCAGCUCAGCCACUACAGAGGAAACAAUGACUUCAACACAAAAGGGUAAAGGUGGACCACAGGUUGCUUUGUUUCUGCUUAGCAACUACUGAGGUAAAUGGUGUUAAAGAUAAAUAUGCAAUAAGUGAACAGGAAAUGUGUGAGGGUGAGCCGGUGAAACAAAAUGUUGUAGAUAAUGGAAACUUGUCUAACGGGCAUUAACAGUAACCUUUGCAUGUUAUGUAUAUGCUUGAGGCCAAAAGAGGCG
ensembl:lncRNA